rnacentral:rRNA from 1 species
AUACGUAGGGGGCGAGCGUUGUCCGGAAUGAUUGGGCGUAAAGGGCGCGUAGGCGGCCCGGUAAGUCUGGAGUGAAAGUCCUGUUUUUAAGAUGGGAAUUGCUUUGGAUACUGUCGGGCUUGAGUGCAGGAGAGGUAAGUGGAAUUCCCAGUGUAGCGGUGAAAUGCGUAGAGAUUGGGAGGAACACCAGUGGCGAAGGCGACUUACUGGACUGUAACUGACGCUGAGGCGCGAAAGUGUGGGGAGCAAACAGGAUUAGAUACCCUGGUAGUCCACACUGUAAACGAUGAAUGCUAGGUGUAGGGGGUAUCGACUCCCUCUGUGCCGCAGUUAACACAAUAAGUAUUCCGCCUGGGGAGUACGGCCGCAAGGUUGAGACUCAAAGGAAUUGACGGGG